UCAGCAGCUUGAUGCUUCCCUUCACUGCCACAUCUCUGUCGUGCGUGGAAAUACAUGACAGAGGUGCGGCACAGGAGGGCUAGGCAAUGAAGGAACGCUGAAGGCUGUGUCCACAAGAGCAAAGGGCAGAGAUGAACGGAAGACCAUGGCUGGAAACGAUGCAGCGAUGUUGCGCCUGCUUUUCCUACUGAGGAUGCAGUCCUGGCUACAGUUAGCUAGACCCUUCAAGUGGUGUAUCCAUAUGACUGAAAAUAAAGGAGGAAAGAUGUUCCCGACCAGGCAGGCAUUCAUUAGCUUCUUUCCUACAGAGGCUCCAGCAAGAAGCAAGCUCGCACCUGAGCUAAUUACUUUAGUCACACUGCAUUAAGGUGUGUGUUAGCUUUCUGCAAUGUGCAUGCAUCAUCUACAGGUCUGGGGAUGGCUGCACAGUGUAGCCAUGCCUGAUGACUGUCACUGAGGUUUGGGAAGGCGAGGAGGCCCCUUGGAUGAGUGCUAGUGCAGUUUAGUUCUUGUGGAGCCUUGGUACCCACAACACGCUGUGUGAUGGCAGAGAACCCCGCUUGUCUGCUGAAGCAGCACAGUGGUGAAGAAUCUGAGUUCUCCUUCAUAUGGAUUUCCCCAUAACCUUUGCCAAGUUGUGUCCAGUAAAUAGACCAUGUUAUUUGUGUCUGAGGGAUCAUUUUUCUCAAGGUAAGCUGAAAUUCUGUGGAUUGUUGGAUGCUUUUUAUCUUGGCAUCACAGAGCUUGUGUUUGUGUGUGUGUACUUUUAGUGUGAAAGAAGCAGAUUUGAUUGGAGAACUUGGGGAGAGAUGUUUUGUAAAAGGUCAUGGGAGAGUAAGAGAUGUUAUGGUCAAAUUGUGCCCUUGGACACCUUCUGGAAUAUGCUGUGGGGUGAAGAUGUAAAAUGUGAUAUCUUCACCUCUAUUCCUUCUUUGUUGAUGAUUCACAGCAGAAAUGAUCUGGGUCACUUUGUAUUAGGAAAUAUGAUGGGGUGAUUGGAAACAAAGGGAGGAAAGCAAGUCACUGUUCCAAGUGACUUUGUGGUUCACUUGAAUCCAAACCCAAUCUUGCCAACUCGUGAUUUGAUCAUCAGUGCUGCAAUGCAUAGUCCUUUCUUACAGCUCCAGCUCUUGAGUUCUGGAAGAUCUUAAAAUCCGUCUCCUCCCCCCAGCAGAUUUUGUGAUUUCAAAGAAAAUACUGCCAACAUGACCUCAGUGUACUCUGAGGGUUAAGGAGCUGGAAUGAAAAAGCCAAUGGAUUUUAAACUGGUUCUCACAUGAAGUGAGAAAGAGAGUGAUACACAGUUCAUAUAAAAAAAGAAAAAAAUGGAUUUUUGGUGUUGCCAGCUCCCAGUUUGAACAGUUCAAAGAAGGUCUUUGGAGAGGGGAUCUGAAAAGGAGCUACAGAUCGCCUAUUUGUAGCCCCAUCCAUGGAGUGAGUGGCAACUGAGUGUGUUGAAGUGUCGUGGAGAUCUGCUUUGCAGAUGUGAAGACAGGAAAGCAACUUUUGUGACUCUUGAGCAGCACUUUGAUCUUCAUCAUUUUUGUGUAAAUCUGGAGGAACAGAACUCUCCUGUGUAGAAUUGAUGACUUCUCAUGUUAUUGACCAAACCAAAAAUGUGAGAGGCGAUUCCCUUGUGCCUGCCUGUGACCCAAAAUGAUAGAGGUUUUUCUUCUUUCUUUUUCCCUAGUCAUCUUUAAAAAUAAGUUUAAAUUGAAGAAAAAAAAUAAAACAAAAUUCCUGUUCAUCUUAUGGCACUGAAAUAUCUUUACUGGGUCAAAGUAAGGUAUAUGCAUGCACAUAAUAAGUAUUGUGAUUGUUUACUGUGAAUAUCAUUGUACAUUCACAUUUAGUGUUGAUAGAAAAUGCAUGAAUCAAUGGAGCAGUUACUGCUUUAAGAGAACUGAGAGUUGCAUAUGGAUUUGGAAGUAUGGAAGAUACAAUGAUAUGAGAUCAACCAACAAAUUAAUGCUUGUGCUUCACUGAGAAAUCUCCUACUUUCAUUCCUGACGUCGAAACAUUCUUGGAAGCAGGUAAGGUAUUUUGUCUCUUCCUACUGAACUGGUUGGUAAAGAGAUCACUUUUCCCUGCCAAGCCUGUCUCAUCUGUUGGAGAGGAUCAGAAUUACGUGCUUUGGGGUUUUGUUAUUGUUUGUUUUGAGUUUUUGUGUCAAAAUAUUACUUUUUUUUUAUUUUUACAGGAAGUGGAGAUUCAGCUGAAAAAAUGACCUAGCUCUGCUCUGAACCUUCCAUUCACGAGAUUGGUUUUGUUCCUUGUACGCAGACAAUUAAAGAGGAAGGUGCCUGAGAAGAAGAGAAGCGACUAAAGCAAGUGGAAUCAGUCUAUCUGACUUGAGAGACGGGACUGCAGAGCUGGAAAUGGGAAGGAACUUCCAGACUGCAAAUCCCAGCUGUGAAAUAAAUCUGUCCGGGGAGCGUGGUGCACCUGCCAGCUGACCAGCAGUUUGACAACGCUGGAAGUGCUGGCGCUAAAGUCAAGUCAGUUAAGUACCUCGUUGGUGGUUGGAAGAAAGCUGCAGCACCCCAGUGAGAGCGGUGGUGUUUAACAAGCAAGGGCUGGAGGGAGGAAGAGGAAGAAGCCGGAUCCUGCACUCAGCACCCUUCCUGAUCUAGCAGGAAUCCCUCAGCAGUGUCCUGACCUCUGCGAAGGUUUCAUCCUUCUGGAUGCUGCAUUCUGGUGGAUCACUUCUUUGCGUUGGUUAGAAGGGCUGUUAAUCAGGCACUGGAAACAUAAAGAAGAAUACGACCUUUGGAAGAUUGUGCCUCUGAAGGGAGAAGUAGGAGCACCGAGUUAAAGAACAGGUUGAUCUGUCACUCGCCAAACAUCGCUGUCUGUCCGUAAGCCAAGUACCUCGUACCAUCUUUCUGCCUGCUUCCUCAAGGAGACAAGGCAACUCUCAAAAGGCAUCAUUGUCAUUCCAAGAAAUUUCUUCCCUCUACAACUGAAGAUUUUAAGAAAUGACUGAUUUGCCCCAAUCUACACCAAGAUAAAUCCAUACAUUGGAAAACAGACAUGGGCAGAAAUCACUGAGACUGCAGGAGACUUCUGGAGUCAUAUGGUUUGAAGUGGGAGACGUCAGUGCCCAGAGACGAAAGAGCGUUUGCUGUAGCUGCAGG